AUCCAGCUGACGAGUCCUAAAUAGGGCGAAACGCGCCUUGUCCUGGAU
rnacentral:hammerhead_ribozyme from 1 species